UACAGAGGUCUCAAGCGUUGUUCGGAUUCACUGGGCGUAAAGCGCACGUAGGCGGACUCUUAAGUCGGUGGUGAAAUCCUGGAGCUCAACUCCAGAACUGCCUUCGAUACUGAGAGUCUCGAGUCCGGGAGAGGUGAGUGGAACUGCGAGUGUAGAGGUGAAAUUCGUAGAUAUUCGCAAGAACACCAGUGGCGAAGGCGGCUCACUGGCCCGGUACUGACGCUGAGGUGCGAAAGCGUGGGGAGCAAACAGG
rnacentral:rRNA from 1 species